ACUAUGACAUAUUUCAGGGUUAUAUUUUCAACUACAUUUGCCAAAAUUUUUAUUUUUCUUGAUUUCAUCUUUAUGAUUUGUGUGACCUGAUGACAUCAUCACUUCACUCAAAUGAAUAUUCAUAUUGACUGGUCAAGAAGUGUUUUCCGAAUCAUAACUUCCAUCUUUUCAUGAUUUUUGUACCAUUUUGUAGGGAAUAUUUUUUUUUCCUUUUUAUGAAUCCAGUUAUUUGGGCCUGGAGUUCUUUAUUAAUUCUAAGUUAAAGAGGAAAAAAAAAGGGGGGGGGGGGAGUGACAUAUGAUAUGUUACUUUACAGUUGACAUACACUGUAUAACUAGAUGUUCAUGUAGAGCAUUUCAUGAUCCUCUUUUGACAGAGUCAGAGACGUAACCGCCGCAUCUCACCCUACCAUAUAGCGGAGAGGUGGUGCGGCCUUGGAGAAGAUCAGGAGGGAUUUGAAAAAAAAUUUAUCAACGAUGACAUAGGACAUGGACUUGUGACAAAUAAACCCUUUUUAAAGGGAGAUUUCCUCCUGGAAUAUCGUGGAAUAUUGUCCAUUGCUGAUGAUCAGGAUGAUGAGAAUGCGGAUUACGUUUUCCACUUCUCGCAUAAAAGUACCGAGUAUCGGAUUGAUGCAUCAGAUAGCAAUUCUUGCCUCGCUAGGUGGGUCAACGAUGAUCAUGUGCAUCCAAAUAGCAUCAUGAAAAAGGUUGCAUUUGAUAAUAACUCCCCACAUUUGUGCUUGUUUGCUUUGGUGGACCUUAAAGAAGGUGUGGAACUAACAUACGACUAUGGAGUAAAGAAUUUACCUUGGCGGCAGCCCAGUCUGGAAAAGGAAAAGAACAUACCAUCUUCGGUAAGUAUAGAGAUCCUCAAUUAGUGUGUUGAAAUUGCUUAGUAUUAAAACAUGCACGUCCUCUCUUGAAUAUGUAAACAAUUUCUUUGUCAAAUAUGCAGUGUACAUGUAUUGUUCUCAAACAUUUAUGAAAACAAGUUCAUUGUUGCAUUGCAGUGUAAUACAGAUUAAUUAGCACCCAUAUAUCUUAGAGAAUUGCUCAUUGAAUAUAAACCGGAGAGAUCAUUACGUUCUCGUAAAAGAUCAAUGUUCACUGUACCUAAAACUGCAACAAAAUCAUAUGGUGAGAGAUAAUUUUCACAUGAAGCAUCUAUUUUAUGGAAUAGCCUACCAAACUACUUCACAAAUAUCACACCAUAUGACAAAUUCAGGAGUAACCUAAAAACUUAAUCUCUUUGAAACCCAAUAACCUUAGUGAUAAUCCCAGCUCUUCUGAUUUCUUUCACACUUCUAUUUCUGUUUAAGCGCAUAAGGACUUUCUCAUGAUUGUGUUAUGCGCUAUAUAAAGAUAUUUCAUUAUUAUUAUUUUUUUAUUAUGCAAACAAGUGUUACUAUCGAAUUGUAACAAUGUUUAUGAUACCUGUAGAUGCCUUAUUUGCCUUCUCGUAUUCGGGCAGAACAGAAAAGAAAAGGAACGAAAAUGCGGACAAAUUUAGUGAAAUAUAAAAAGG